GUCCACGCUGUAAACGAUGGAUGCUAGCCGUCGGCAAGCUUGCUUGUCGGUGGCGCAGCUAACGCAUUAAGCAUCCCGCCUGGGGAGUACGGCCGCAAGGUUAAAACUCAAAGGAAUUGACGGGGGCCCCGCACAAGCGGUGGAGCAUGUGGUUUAAUUCGACGCAACGCGAAGAACCUUACCAGCUCUUGACAUGUCCGGACGGUUUCCAGAGAUGGACUCCUCCCAGCAAUGGGCCGGAACACAGGUGCUGCAUGGCUGUCGU
rnacentral:rRNA from 1 species